UUUUUAUUUAUUUCUCAAAAACUGAUUUUCAUAGUUAUUCUUUCUCUAAUUCCUCUUUCAUUUUCGUUCUGUUCUUCUUUCAUUACGCUCACAUACAUCAAAAUUUUCAAGAAGUAUUUCAAGCCAUAUGUUUGACAAUAUAUCAGAUCACAGAAGUUUUUAUCGUUUUACAAACAACAUCGUUGACAUGCAGAGAUUUUGAGAUCCCCUUUAUGUAAUUCUCCGGGAUGAUGGCCGAAGAAAAGGAGAGACAGAUGGAAUGAGUUUCACGUAUAUGGUGCCAGGCUGACAGCGUUUGAAGUUUAAUAGGUGACUGUUGUUUUCCGGCGUUGAAAAAAGUGUGGUGAUUGUUCCUGCUGUUUUUUAGCUGCGCCAGUACAGUGGGUGAACGGAAGCCGGUGGUGGUUAACGGCUAUAGCUGUUCCUGGUGAAUGCUUCUGGUGAUGGUCCAUCGGCGUUUAUUUUUAGAUUUGGUUGGUUAUGAUUUUGUGUAAAUAUAUGUUGUAUAUGUGAAAAAGACAAAAGGGCUAUUUAGCUGUUUGGUUGUAUUGACGAUAUAGCCGCCAAGGGGAACACGUAACAAUAGUAAAUAAUACAUUAGAGAUA